rnacentral:misc_RNA from 1 species
AGGCUAGGAAGAGGCUUGCAGCAGGCCCAACAGUUGGGUAAAAAUUUUCUUGAAUUAUUUUGUCUUGAAGAAUUUUCUCAUGAUGGGGAAAUUUUUAGUUGCUUUCCAUUUGGUGCACAAGAAUUUAAUGUUCUAUAGGGACAAUUUUGAAUUAUGUUUGUCUAGAUAUUUUUUUUUAACUAUAUUUAUAUUUGAAUUUUAGUCUAUUUAUUCUUGUUAUUGAGAUGAAAACAAGCUUUUGUGUUUGUGAGCAUUAUGCAAGCGUGCGAGAUUUUUCCUUUUAA